rnacentral:lncRNA from 1 species
GUAACACCAGCUUCAAGAAGUUAAGUAACUUUCUAAGAUCACAUGGCCUGUAAGGGUGGAUAACUGGGUUUGAUUUCAAAUCUUGUGCUUUCCAAUGCUCUGUGCUACCUCCUGGGGACUGGAAAUGAACCCAUUUGUAGAGACCAAAAAACGUGGGAGUUUUGAUAUCUCUGCUCCCAGCAGGUAGGCUGUCUAUAUUGACUAUAUGGAAAGAAAUUAGGAUAGAGUCAGCCUCAAUCUAAAUCUUCUGGAAGGCUCUACCUCUCAUCCCUGGAGUCCUGCUCAGUCACUGUCAUCAUUGUCUCCAUGGAAACUGACCUGCUCUUGGCCAAGGAAAGGUCUGGGCUUUAUAACAUAGGUCAGUAGUACUCAGGGAACAAGGCAGGGACAUUACACAGCUGGGUUGCUGAUUCUUAGCUCUAACAUUUGGUUUAUAAUUACUAGAGGGUUUUUUUUUUUUUUUAAUGACAAUUCUAGGCUGGUCUGGUUAGUGUUUACCUAUUGCCUCAUUUUAAGAAGGUAUUUGGGCAGUUUGGGGAAUAUAAUAAUAGCAAUCACAGCUAAAUGAUUAAGUGGCUAUAAUGGGAAGAUAAAGGUGGGAUUAAGUCAAUACACAAAAUGCAUACCUCAGAGACUCAGCAUUGAAUACCAUGAAUGUCGACAUAGAAAGAUGCCAGGGAGCCUGUUGAUGAGAUUCCUGGGCUUAACGUGGUACUAGAUGAGGCUCUGACCUGGAUAGUGUACCUGAUAAUGAUAUCCUUAGAACAGGUCUGGUGGUAUGUGGUCUGGAUGUUCAAAUAUGAAGAAUUAGCCAGGUCAUCACUUCUAAAUGGCUCAGCAGGGGAGGAUGUGUUGAAGGAGAGUAACAACUAAGCAAGCCUAGAACAUUGUGGGGCAGUCAUCGGCUGCAUUGUUGUCUCAGGACUCUGGAUUAGAAGCAAACUGUCCUGCUGUCCCAAAGCAUGGCACUGUAGGCAUGAACCAGGGUCCAUGGUCCCUUCCAUAGGGAGGAAGUCUACCCUAGUUCUUAGGAACCCAAAUUAUAAAUGAAGUAAGACAGGUUAAACCUAAUUGAUAGAUGAAUCACUUGGUAAGUUGUUUAAUUGCGUCAUCUCAAAGACAGAGAGGUUUUCUACAUUAAACUUUCAAGUACUGUAUGAACACGUUUAGCAUGAAAACAGUUCUAGUUGCAAUUUUUAACACAAGCUCAUGCUGGAAAGUGUAGAUAUGUUUCCAGACAUCUACUAUCCAAGAGUUUGCUCCAUCAACACUCGCCAGAAAUGAUUAAAUGUUAUUUAAUAAGCAAGAUAUAAGUAAUAAAAAAAAAAGGCUUUUUCAGUCACUCAACUUAAAAAUCUUAACUCUUGGUCUGAUGCAAGAAUAAUGGCACUCAGGCAGCCUAGGUAAGUACAAGAGAAAGGGGUGGAUUAGGGAUGAGUGUGGAGAGGAAGGCAGAGUGGUAGAGGAUCCAUAUAUUCAUCUCCUCCAAUAUCUUGGCAUCCAGGAAGGCAGAUGCACAUGGCAGGUGACACAGUGCAUUUUAUUCAGUCUGAAGACUGUUUCCUUUUGAAGCUUUGUUUUGAGACAGAAAAUAACAAGUGUAACUUCAACCUCUUUCUACUCUGAGUGUUACUGACCCUGGGAUAGCAUUUAAAAAAUAUACCAUACCAAUGCAUUUUAUUCUCCAUAAAUUAUCUUGUCCAAAGGGCAACUCAUCUACCCCAAACAUUAAUUUUUUCAGGGUACACUUAGAACAAAGAGAUCAGUGCUCAUUUUUGAGUUUCAGAACAAUUUGCUUGAAUCUUCAAUGAAAGCUAAGGCUUGUUGAAAGAGAAAAUUGUUAUUUAAAUUCCACUCAUACUUCUAAUCAUGACAAGAGCCAAGACACAGUACACAGAAGAUAAAAUAUAAGGUUUAAGAGGAUGUCCUAUUAAGAAAUGGUAGAAAGCUCUCUUACCAUGGGAAGCAGGAGCUUAGCUAAUGGAAGCAAGAGUCAGAAGGUGAAAGCUAGGGUGAAAAUGCUUGUGGGGUCACUCGGAGGUACCCAGUGACUCCAACACUUGGAAGAAGGUGGGGAAGAGGGAUUAGGACGGAAGCCAAAGGUAAAGAUUGGGGAAACAGGACAUAGGUGUCCCACCACCUGUUCCCUUCUUCCUGUUUGAAUUCUAGGGAGACCGCCUAGCAGAAUGCCCCAGAACGUGAUGAUGUGGCCAUGGGUGAAUAGCAGUGGAUUUGGAAAGGUUAGGGAGAGAGAAUCUGAGCUAGUUCCCACAUGCAGUAUGUAAAAUAUCCAUAUCUGAGAACCUCAGCAUCAGGAUUCCUACAAGGAAGUGCAGAAUUAAGAUUUGGGGUCUUAUGUAAACAUAAGCAGUGCGAGUUUCAAACAAGUGUUGGCAUCAUAACCUAGAUUCCCUGAACUGACUUCUUUCCAGGUUACUCUAGAGACUACCUUAGAGACUGUGUGUGUGAAUAUGUAAGAACUGUCUUAGAUACUAUACAUAGUAUGUUCAGAAUAGGUCAAGAGUAAAAAGUCAAUUGGAGUAAAGAGUCAAUAAGUGGUAAUUGUUAUUAUUGUUACUAAUGCAGAAUGGGCAGUGGUUUGCAGGCAGUGGUCGAUUUGGGAAACACCAAUGUGGUUACUCAGCCACGGAAGCCUGAAAACAGGUUAAGAGCAAUUCUGGCUUGGUUGUGCCAUAGGUAUCCUAAGAGGUGGGAGUGUGAGGGAGGACUUGUAUGGGAUAAAGGUAGUGAUGUCUUCAUGAGUGAACCAUGAGAGUAAAUGUGCCUAUAUACCCUGAGACAGUUCAGGCCAGUGUAAACCUAUGGGCCUCAUACACACUGGGUUGGCCCCACUUGUUAUAUUAUGUCGUGCUGGGGGUCAGUGGGGCUGUACCGUAGAAAAGAGGCCAAGAAGAAUGGAUAGAUGGAGCUGAUUUUCCUGCAAGAAGGAAUUUGUGGACCAAAAAAGCAAGUUAGAUGGAAUAAGGGUAAAAUUGUCUUUCUUAUUUAUUUAUUUUUUUUGUCUUUUUGCCUUUACUAGGGCCACUCCCGCAGCAUGUGGAGGUUCCCAGUCUAGGGGUCUAUCUGGAGCUGUAGCCGCUGGCCUACACCAGAGCCACAGCUACACGGGAUCCGAGCCGCAUCUGCAAGCUAUACCACAGCUCACGGCAAUGCCGGAUCCUUAACCCACUGAGCAAGACCAGGGACUGAACCCGCAACCUCAUGGUUCCUAGUCGGAUUCGUUAACCACUGAGCCACCAUGGGAGCUUCUAAAAUUGUCUUUCUAUAUAGUCUUAGAGCAACUGAGGGCAAGACUACAUUGAUUCAGUCCUGUGGUCCCUCUAAGCUCACACAUCACUUGUUAUAUUUUAGGCCCUCAAAUUAAUAUCUGUUGAAAGAAUGGUUAUAGAUAAUGGUGAAUGGGCCCCAAAUAAUUGGGUAGGGUGGAGGGUGGCUUGGCAGUCUUAACUGUAGAGGUUUUUAAUACCAUGUAGGGUGGGGCACACCCAGAGGAUUUCAACUGCAAGCCCUCUGUCACCAUGUGAUGCCCCAUGUGAAUUCACAGGUGAUCUUUAAUGUGUUUCUUGGUUGAAGGCUCACUUUUGCAGAGUAAAAAAAUCCCUGCACCUGACCCUCUGCUACUGAUAGGUGUGAUUUUAAAAGAACUUAGAGAUUUUAAAGUCUCAUUGAAAAGACAAGAAGGAAGUCUUUAAAAUGAAAGAUUCAUUCAUUGAAUAUGUGUAUUAUUUGUUUGGUUCAUCUCAGUGCCUGGGAAAUUGUUGGUUCUUAAUAAGUAUUAAUUGAAUGUAAAUCAUUUAAUGGGAGAUUCUGUAGCAGCUGGUGCAUGCCAGACCAUUGCGCCAAGUGCAGACAUACACCCUUCAACAGGGAGCUCAGGGUCUAGUGGAGGAAAGAGGCAAAUACAUAAAUAAUGAUGGUGUGACAUGGUGUCACAGCACAGCAAUAAAUGGGAUUUUUAUGACAGCGGUACUCUUCUUCCAUGUCAGAGACCAUCAAACAUGGCUGAAUGCUACCUACAUGUGUUUUUUAUUUUGUCCUUUUAGUGUGGGCUAAAUCACCAUUAAAUUUUUUCCCCAUCAGUCAUCAUCAUUUAUAAAUAAGUUUAAUUUUCCUGUAAAAACCUGAAUUACUGGCUUUCCUUGAAAAUAUGGCAGCUCUGGCAAUCUUGGGCUCACAUGUGGCAAUGAUUUGCAGGCUGGGUGGUGAAGGCUCCAUGACAGGGCAUGAGGUCCCCAAACCACACUCUACUUGCCCCGCUACACUGAGGCUGAUAUUAGCGGGCCCUCACAGUCAAACCUGCAGUGCUCUUUCCAUGGCAAAGAAUUAAGAGAAGUUGAAAUAUUUUUGGUAUCUAUCCAAACAGAAUAAUGGAAGGCAUACUGAGAGGCCACCAUGUUCCAAGAAAGAAAAGGAGAGAGUAAUUUCUUUGUAGCUACAAAACACAUUCCUUGGUAUUUAAGAUGCAAACCAAUUGUCUCUAUGCAAAGUGACAUAAUUUAAGAUAACUUUAUGAAAUAACCACUGAGUGAGGCCAGGGAUCAAACCCGCAUCCUCAUGGAUGUUAGUUGGAUUCGUUUCUGCUGAGCCAUGAUGGUAACUCCCUGAGAGUGUAUUUUGAUUGCCUUUUCUUCACUGUGUUGGUGAAGGAGUGUGUCCUGCCCUGGGAUUAUGGGGAUGGCUGAACUCCUGGACCCUCCACCCUGGACAGAUGAGAUUGACAGCUGUUAUUCAUCACGUGUACUCAUAGCUUCAGAGGGGAGGAAAUCAUGUACCACACUGGAAUCAGAUUAAAUAAUCAGGGGCUCUGGGAGGCAGGCUUUGUAGUAACAUGAGGUAGUGGUGACCCCUGGUUUCCAGAAGAGGAUGGGAUUGGCUUGUCUGAGUAAUUCUGUGGGCUGGCAGGGGACUGAAACCUAUUACUCAGGAAUAAGCAGACCCUGUGCCUGGGCCCCAUGAUAAGGUGGGGUGUUUGGCAAGGAAGGAGCAGAGCGGGGACUUGCCAUUAGGCCUUUUGAGACCCUUCUGGCUUCAGAUGUCAAGGCAGCACGUCAUACUGAGUCUUAAUUUUAGGUCUUACCCCGUAGGGUCUACACUCAUGAGUUUUCCUGCACCUGGGGAAAUGCAACCUUAAAUAACAAAUGAAAAGUUCUUGACAGAGAGAGAAGGUCAUGUGGAAAGAGAGACAGAGACUCAAGGAGACUGGGGAGAAAUUAAAAAGCUUCAUAUUUUAGUACCUUUCAUGUCACCUUUUUUGCUGUUUUGAGAACAAGGGGCCUUUCAUUUCAUUGUGCAUUGGCUGCACCGAUUGUGUAGCUAGUCGUACUGAAAAUUUAGAGUUGUGUGAACUAGUUACUAGGGGCCCAUGGUCCCAUGUUACUUAUUUUUGUUAUCUGUUUGACCCCACAGGUAUUUGUGUUUGGGGUUGUGACACAUAGGAUGCACCUUGAAAUGAACUGUGAAAUGUGCAGGAAGGGUCCCUGAUGAUCCGUUUACUGUCUGUGAAACCCCAGAAGUUAGGUCAUCCCAUUUCUCCUGGGCAACGGGGUCUCUAUAUUUCCAGCAAUCAUUCUGAUUUUCCAUAUGAUCGUUCGCAUGUGAGUCAUAAAGCACUGAAAUGAAUCCUUGAUUCUUGCCAUUUUUCAGCUAUUAAUUAAUGCUAUGGGCCAUCUGAUCAUAAACCUGUUCUCCUUUUUUUUGGAGUAAUUGGUAACCUGGUGGUCCCCGUGUGAGUUUAAAAUCAUUAUUUUGACUUCACUGAUUACUGACUUUUAUUAUUUAGGAGCUAAGAACUAGCAAGUAAUGGAACAUGCUGUGAACUAUUUUUCCUCUUGCUAAGAAAAUAUGUUGGUUGCUGGCGAGGGACUUGUAUUCAAAGGAAUCCUGUAAGAGCUGAACUGGCUUUGACUCCAUGUACUAAGAGUAGUAUUUACACUGUGGGGCUUCUUGGGUUUGGCUGCACAGCAAGCUGUAUUACUUUCCACUUGCAAGUUGAAAGGGUCUUGAUAUUAAUUCAACAAAGGGAGAAGUUAGAAAAGCUUAAAGUCUUAAUGACUCAUUGUUACGGGAGAGAAUAUCAGUCUGACCACUUUUAAAUGAAAAUCAUUUUAUUGCUUUCAAUCACAAAGAACAUUUCUAACCAAAUGCUAAAAAUAAAAAUGUAGGUACUGCCAAAGAGAAGCCCUACUGGGCCUAGUCAAGGAAUAAAAAAGUUUCAUUUAUAAUUAAAAUUGUUCCUCAGAGGCAAAUUAACACAUAUGUUCUUAACCUAAUUUCUGUCUCUGUGUGUGCACACGCGCGUGCAGGUUAAACAACUACUGUAUUUGCUUACAGUAUUGAUUUGCAUAAGGAACCCUCUUUCUUAAUAAGCAAAGGCAAAAUCCAUUCAGACUCAAGAGCUCGUGUUCUAAGACAGUGAUGUCAGAACAGGCCCAAUAAAUAACAUCUUCCUUCCCCAUCUGGGUUUUGAACCAACUGCGAAACGAGAUACAGAAAUAAGGUAGGUGAAAAACAAAAUAUUACCCUUAAUAGUGGCAAAGGUGAUUACUGUGAAAUGUGGCUUAAGGAUGAGAGCCAAAUGGACCUCUCAAUAGUAAACAUCCAGAGGUAGCCAAUUUCUCCAUUCAGCAUAGAUAGCUGGAUGGGGCAGACCUCUACACAAUGAGAACUAGAUGCUGUGGUUAUAAAGGAGAGUGAAAGUCCCAGAAAGUGGGAACACAGUUCUGUUGAGAUAUGUAGAGAGUGGAAAGGAAACAGCAGAUAGAACAGAAGAGAAAGGAAGAUGGGCUAAGGUUAGAAUUUAAGCUCUAUCAUUUAUUGCUGGGUUACCUUGAGCUUAAUCUCUCUGGCUAUUCGUUUCCUCAUUUUAAAAAAGUAAUAUCUUCUUUACACAUUUAUUGUGAAGAUUGGCCAAGUAUACACACAGACCUCGUGAGUGCCAGGACUAAAGAAGACAUUCAAGAAGUAUUAGUGAUUGUUACAGAGUUGGAGGGUGUGAUGAAAUAGAUACAUCAUUCAAAAUUAACGUGAUAAAGGUAUACUAGAGAAAGGUGACUUAAAGGCUACAUUGGAAGAAGAAAUGAAUUCAUGUCUUUGUAUCUCUGUGUCUGAGUAACUUCACAGGUGUCAUCCUCAAGAAGUGGGUCCAUUUAUCUACUGUUAAGAAUGUUUUUUGUGCAGAGCUAGGAGGAGUGGGAGGUAGGUAGAAGAAUUUCAGAUCUUUCUUAAGGGAGACAUCAUUAUUAACAUGAAGCUGGGUUUUGUCAGAUUGGCAAGGACCAAUAAGACUAAUGUAACUGGAUCAUGUACAUAUGGUUCAUUGUCCUAGUUUGAUGAGUUAUGUGCUUUGAUUAACCAGAAUGGGUAACAAUGACAUAGUACAUAAUGAUUUGAAGUCAUGUUUGUUUGUUGGUUUGUUUGUUUUAUCUUCCAUGUAGAGUAGAUUUUGAAACCUAAACCUUGUUUAACUGAUUAUAGAAUAGUGCUUUAGUGACAUUAUAUCUUGGGACUUAGUCUCUAUCUGCUGCUAAUAACAGAGAUGUCGGUUUAAAAUUCAUGUAAAUUUGAAGUCUUCUUGGGAUAGUCCUAAGAUUUGUGGUAUAGUCCAGUUUUAUGUCUGGGUAUAGUGUGAGUAGGAAACUUUUAAUGACAGUGUUGGAUCUGUGCUGUUCUCAGUAAAGAUACUGAUUUAUGACAAUUGCAAAGAACAGAUUAAGAACAGUCUGAGAAAUAUUGAAAGAAUUUUUUAAUGGAAGGGAGACACACAUAUGUUUAUGAGUAAAACCUUAGAAGAAUUGUUUUAAAAUUUUUAAAAAACUUUUGAAAAUUCAAUCUAGAACAUUGAGACAUUGAUUUCUCCUCUUCCCUUUUCUCUUCCAAAAUGGAUUUAAGUUUCUCCCAUCCAUCAGAAAUGCCAAUAUUCUGCCCAGAACAUGGGACAAAUAGUUUAUAUUAUCCCCAGAAGGAUCCAGUUAUUUCUGAUAAUCCAGAAAUAAAAGUAGAAAUUGUGUUUUAAAGAAAUUUCCCAGGGUAACCUUAGACUGGGGCUUUGGCAUUUUGCCACAAUGGCUGAAUAAGAGAUGAUUGGUAUUGAAAAACAUAGGAAUUCAGCUUUUGAAAUAUCUCAGUGAAGCAUAAUGAUCCCCUUUACCUCCAGAUUACACUCGGGGACUUCUAGACAGUCUCACUUGGUCAGGCCAAGAUCUUGAGGUCUGGCUUCAUGUCAAUUCCUCCUUGAUCAGUUAACAUAUAGACUAAGGCAGUACAGUAUAUAGGAAAAAAAGAAUCAAUAUGCUAUAUGUAUAACUGACUCACUUUGCUAUACACCUGAAACUAACACAACAUUACAAAUCAACUAUACUCCAAUAAAAUUCUUACAAAAAGACAGCAUGGUAGAACAGGCUCGAGUCAUUCUACUGAGUAAACUCUAUUCUUAUUAUGUUCUUUAUGGCUUGAAGUGGAGUAGAAGUAUAAGAUAUUCCUUUUAUAUUUUAUAAUAUGUGAGGAGAAUAUACAUAUAUGCUUACCUUGUUCUUAAAUUUUUUAUUACAGAAAGUUUCAUAUAUAUUCUUAUAUAUACUUUUAUAUAAGAAUAUACAUAUUCUUAUAUAUAUAUAAAAGAAAAUAACAUAUAUAUAUAUAAAAGAAAAUAACUUCCUCAAUAUGUAUUUCCAAAGAUAAAGUCUUUAAAAUGCAUAACUGGCGUUCCACUUGUGGCUCAGCGGGUUAAGAACCCAACUAGUAUCCAUGAGGAUGUAGGUUAGCUCCCCGGCCUCACUUGGUGGGUUAAGGAUCCAGCAUUGCUCCAAGCUGUGGCUGUGGAGUAGGCCAGAGCUGCAGCUCUGAUUUGACCCCUAGCCUGGGAACUUCCAUAUACCACAUGUGGCUGUAAAAAGAAAAAA